rnacentral:rRNA from 1 species
AUGAAAAUUAUGGUUUGGAACCAUCGGGGUUUGGGGAAUGGCCCGACAAUUCGGGGGCUUCUAGACCUCUAGAAGUGUGAGGAUCCCGACAUCCUCUUCUUAUCUGAAACAAGGAUGGAUGAGAGAAGGAUGAUGUGGUUUAAGUACUUGUUAGGGAUGACAAGCAUAGUGGUGAGGGAUUGUGAAGGAAGACGUGGAGGGCUUGCUAUGCUAUGGAAGAAUCAUGUAAAAGUUGAUCUGCACAACUACUCAAGAAAUCACAUUGAUGUGGUGGUAGUGGAGCAUAAUGGCUUUAGAUGGAGAUUUACUGGCAUAUAUGGCGAGCCAGCAACAAAUAAAAAGGAGAAAACAUGGAAGCUCUUGAGAAUUCUUGAUCAGCAGCUCACGCUCCCAUGGCUUUAUGCUGGUGAUUUCAACGAGGUCCUGUAUAGUCAUGAAAAGAUGGGAGGGCCAACUCAGGCCCCUCGACAUAUGGAGGAAUUUAGAAUGGCACUCUCAGAUUGUGGUCUAAGAGAUCUGGGUUCUCUUGGAGACAAGUAUACCUGGAGAAACCAGAGCCAUGAAGCGAGCAGAUAUGUGCUACCUCUUGAGCACUGUGUUGGUUUUCCCUUGAAGAGGAAAGGGUGA